rnacentral:rRNA from 1 species
AUACGUAGGGUGCGAGCGUUGUCCGGAAUUACUGGGCGUAAAGAGCUCGUAGGUGGUUUGUCGCGUCGUCUGUGAAAUUCCGGGGCUUAACUCCGGGCGUGCAGGCGAUACGGGCAUAACUUGAGUACUGUAGGGGAGACUGGAAUUCCUGGUGUAGCGGUGAAAUGCGCAGAUAUCAGGAGGAACACCGGUGGCGAAGGCGGGUCUCUGGGCAGUAACUGACGCUGAGGAGCGAAAGCAUGGGUAGCGAACAGGAUUAGAUACCCUGGUAGUCCAUGCCGUAAACGGUGGGCGCUAGGUGUAGGGGUCUUCCACGACUUCUGUGCCGUAGCUAACGCAUUAAGCGCCCCGCCUGGGGAGUACGGCCGCAGGGCUAAAACUCAAAGGAAUUGGCGGGG